rnacentral:rRNA from 1 species
GUGAACGCUAGCUACAGGCUUAACACAUGCAAGUCGAGGGGCAGCAUGUUGUUGCUUGCAACCAAUGAUGGCGACCGGCGCACGGGUGAGUAACGCGUAUCCAACCUACCCAAUACUCAGGCAUAACCCGUUGAAAGACGGCUAAUCCUGUGGAUGUAUUUUUCUCAUGAUUACAUUAAAGAAUUUCGGAUUGGAUGGGGAUGCGUUGAUUAGUUUGUUGUGAGGUAACGGCUCACCAAGACUUCGAUCAGUAGGGGUUCUGAGAGGAAGGUCCCACAUUGGAACUGAGACACGGUCCAAACUCCUACGGGAGGCAGCAGUGAGGAAUAUUGGUCAAUGGAUGGAAAUUGAACCAGCCAAGUAGCGUGCAGGUGACGGCCCUAUGGGUUGUAAACUGCUUUUAUGUGAGAAUAAAGUUAGGUAUGUAUACUUAUUUGGCAUGUACACAUGAAUAAGACC